UUAAUUGAAACCAAAAUAGAGGUAUUUCACUGUUAAUGAAAUUAUUGAAUAAAAAAAUUCCAAUUAAU
rnacentral:tRNA from 1 species